AUGAGUAGGUGUGUCCAAACUUUUGGCUGGUACUGUAUAUAUCUCGUGAAUCUCACACAAAUUGAAAAAAUCUAGGUAAUUUAUUUUUAGGCCAUAUCACCCAGCCAUAGUUAGUCUCUUGCCCCUGGUAGAAACAAUUGAAAGGGUAGUCCAAAACAGAGCUCAUUUUGAAGUAUCCAUCACCUAGGCUAACAAGUGAAUGCAGUUUGGGCAUUGUAAAAUAGGAAAAAUACUUUGCAAAUAACUCUUCUAAGUGCACAAAAAGUAGACACCCCAAUAAUCUACAGUUCUCCACAUAGUUGGGAUUUAGGACAAAUGUGACUUUGCAUCAAUAUCCGAUUAAGACAAUUCCAUUGAUGUCAAUGUGUAAGUGCACAAUAUGCACAACGAUUUGAAUUCUAGCCCGAGUCAGUUGUUACCAUCCAACUGUUUAGGCUUUGUGGUCACUGUAGUUUCCAUAUGCUAGUAUGAGUCAGCAUAAGACUGCUGACCCUCAAGAUGGCUGCCUGCUCUCGCAGUGUAUUCAACGUUGGUUACAGAGGGAGAGGAGCCCUAAACUAACACAGCUUGUUUUAACCUCAUUUUCAUCAUCUCCAGCACCAUACCAGUGUCUUCAUAUAUGGCUAGUACUCCUAGGGAGUGCAUUGUUUGGCCUGAGAUCUGAGGGUUUAGGUUCUUAAAGGAAGCCUCCGUGUUGGCACAGCCAGGUUGGGUUGGGCUGAGGCUCAUCCCUGGACAAAUCUGUUCUCACUAAAUCUACACUCUCCACACCACACUCUCCUCUUCCCAUGGUGUGUGCUUGUGUGCGUGUUGUUAAUAUCCGAAUCCUAGUGAUGAAAAUGUGACGUCAACCUCGAACACUGUUCCCAUUGUUUUCACACACACGCUUUUCGGCUUUUACAGUGCUGUGGUCACACGUUUGACGAGCACACACGCUCACACACACGCUCACACGACCACACAAGCAGCUCUAGUGUCUCUUGGAUAUACACUCACUUACAUUAAUAAAUAUUUACAAAAGUCUCUUCUCUAUGGUGACUCACAGACAUAUUACACACACGCGCGCACACACACACACCAUGCAGAGUAUGGGACUGUGUAUGCCUGAUGGCAUCCCAUGUGACCGCCUGAAUAGCGGGUCUAUCCUUGGAUUCUUCACCCUCUUGUUCACCCUGUUAUCUGAGAACUGGUGAUCCAUUUAUUGAUCAAAAAGUAACCAUUAUGGAUGUGUUUAUCCAUAUAACAGUAGUGCACAAUGUUCAGUGCUAAAGUUUACCUUGGUACAGACAACUGACUAUUGUGACUUGUGUCAACAGAUGACCAUCUAUGUAUUGACAGUAUUGUUACUGUAUGUAUUGACAGUAUUGUUACUGUAUGUAUUGACAGUUUCAUGUAUUGACAGUAUCGUUAUGCCUGUCUGUGAAUAAAGCAGCUAUUAUGCCUCAAGUCAAGGAACAGUGAAACCUGAUUGUUCUGUGUCUUCUCUCCUUCCUCCCGCCAUCCUCUUUCUUGAGUGACCCGAGGGCCGCGUGCGGACGUGCUGGGGGCCGCGUGCGGACGUGCUGUGGGCCGCGUGCGGACGUGCUGGGGGCCGCGUGCGGACGUGCUGGCUGCUCCUGUCGGAGAGAUAAAGGAGCUGCGUGAGGAGACACUGGACUUUCUUGUAAACAUGUGCACUCAGCGCCAGCGUGGAGAGCCCUACGCUGUGAGGCAUGGAGGAGGAGAAAGAGGGAACCACAUUGCGAAGACCCCUGCUUCUGGGGUGUCUGUUGCAGUACUCGCACACUGUGAGCUGGCCCGGGGAGAGAUCCUGAGGUGGCUGGAAGAGAGGAGGCAGGAAGGAAGGAAAGGAGAGGGAUGGAGAAGGGUCGAGAGGCACCCUCUGGCCCCAGGAGACAAUCAUCUCUACCCUCACUACCCUGGCCCUGCAUGAGACCCACCCUCAGUCUCCAGCUUCAGCCUCCAAGUAAAUCAAAGGGCAGGAGGAUCGGAGGAUAUCCUGAUGUAGCAAAGGAUCGUUCACUUAUAAACCAGGUCAGUUGCCUGAUGUGGCUGUCUCUUGCUCCUGCUCUCCUUCGCCGUCUCCCGGCAGCCACUCUGUCAGGGUGAGGAUGCCCAUUGGCACCUGCCCCCACAACUGGAACAGCUGGCACAGCAACCCUACAGUCAUGUCCAGGGCCACAGGAUGAGGAGGUGUUCCUGUUUGAGAGGGGAGAUCUGAACCUGUGGGCCGAGCCUGUCCAGUGGAUGCGGCUGCUACACAGAUACCUGGGUGUCCUCUUCAAAGCCCCAGAGCUGAAGGCUCUGAACCAGAACCAGGCAGAGCUCCUCAGUCUGUCAGCCCAGGAAGAUGCCCUGUCCCUGGCCACCCAGCAGGCUCUGGAGGGCCUCCCAGCCCUGGCCCAGUUCUCCUGCACCAUAGAGCACGCCUGGCUGGCCUGCAGCAGGAGAGGGCCACACUGGCUACGGGUUUUAGACUCCAAGAAACGUUCUGAAUUUAACACUUAUGCAAGCAGUAUACACAUUUUUCAUGACUAAAAUGGUUUGUUUUAUCAGCGACGGGUGUAUAGGUUUUCGAAGGGAAUGUACUGCUGAAAGUGUAUACGUUUUGAGUUUUGUCUAUGUUUUUCAAAGUAAAGAUGCCUAAUUCAUGUCUCGCAAUUCUUGAAAACAACCACAGGGCGGUAUGUGUAUGGAUUUCAAAAAUAUAUAAUAUGUAUUAGCACGAUUUCCAGUGGACUCUUUUCAUCCCUUUGCCUUGGUUUCCUAGGUUACGUAAUUAGGAGGGCAACACAAUGGUCCACUGUCCUGUGUCAGCGACUGCCCAGACAGCUGGGCAGUCUUGCGCUGUAGUAUGGCAAUGUUCCCUGUUACUGUUAAAAUGAUGUCAUGUUCUGGAACGCUUGAACAUCCCCCAAUAAAAACAGCACUGUGUGA